rnacentral:rRNA from 1 species
GUGCCAGCCGCCGCGGUAAUACGAAGGGGGCUAGCGUUGUUCGGAAUUACUGGGCGUAAAGCGCGCGUAGGCGGCCUUGCAAGUUGGGGGUGAAAUCCCGGAGCUCAACUCCGGAACUGCCUCCAAAACUUCCAGUCUGGAGUUCGAGAGAGGUGAGUGGAAUUCCGAGUGUAGAGGUGAAAUUCGUAGAUAUUCGGAGGAACACCAGUGGCGAAGGCGGCUCACUGGCUCGAUACUGACGAUGAGGUGCGAAAGUGUGGGGAGCAAACAGGAUUAGAUACCCUGGUAGUCCACACCGUAAACGAUGAAUGCCAGUCGUCGGCAAGCAUGCUUGUCGGUGACACACCUAACGGAUUAAGCAUUCCGCCUGGGGAGUACGGCCGCAAGGUUAAAACUCAAAUGAAUUGACGGGG